GACGAACGCUGACGGCGUGCCUAAUACAUGCAAGUCGAGCGGACUUGACAGAGCUUGCUCUGUUCAAGUUAGCGGCGGACGGGUGAGUAACACGUGGGCAACCUGCCCUGCAGAUUGGGAUAACUCCGGGAACCGGGGCUAAUACCGAAUAACAUUGAAAACCUCAUGGUUUUCUUUUAAAAGGCGGCUUCGGCUGUCACUGCAGGAUGGGCCCGCGGCGCAUUAGCUAGUUGGUGAGGUAACGGCUCACCAAGGCAACGAUGCGUAGCCGACCUGAGAGGGUGAUCGGCCACACUGGGACUGAGACACGGCCCAGACUCCUACGGGAGGCAGCAGUAGGGAAUCUUCCGCAAUGGACGAAAGUCUGACGGAGCAACGCCGCGUGAGUGAAGAAGGUUUUCGGAUCGUAAAACUCUGUUGUUAGGGAAGAACAAGUAUCGGAGUAACUGCCGGUACCUUGACGGUACCUGACCAGAAAGCCACGGCUAACUACGUGCCAGCCGCCGCGGUAACAC
rnacentral:rRNA from 1 species